UACAGAGGUCUCAAGCGUUGUUCGGAUUCAUUGGGUGUAAAGGGUGCGUAGGUGGCGAGGUAAGUCAGGUGUGAAAUUUCGGAGCUUAACUCCGAAACUGCAUUUGAUACUGCCUUGCUUGAGGACUGGAGAGGAGACUGGAAUUCACGGUGUAGCAGUGAAAUGCGUAGAUAUCGUGAGGAAGACCAGUGGCGAAGGCGGGUCUCUGGACAGUUCCUGACACUGAGGCACGAAGGCCAGGGGAGCAAACAGG
rnacentral:rRNA from 1 species